rnacentral:rRNA from 1 species
AUCGGUAGCCGGACUGAGAGGUUGAACGGCCACAUUGGGACUGAGACACGGCCCAGACUCCUACGGGAGGCAGCAGUGGGGAAUAUUGCACAAUGGGGGAAACCCUGAUGCAGCGACGCCGCGUGGAGGAAGAAGGUCUUCGGAUUGUAAACUCCUGUUGUUGAGGAAGAUAAUGACGGUACUCAACAAGGAAGUGACGGCUAACUACGUGCCAGCAGCCGCGGUAAAACGUAGGUCACAAGCGUUGUCCGGAAUUACUGGGUGUAAAGGGAGCGCA